CCUCCCUAGGUAACAGCCACAGUCAGGGACACAAUAUAGAUGAUGAAUCAACAAAGGAGACAGAGAAAAAUAUUAAAAUGCCUGUCAAAUACUGUCUGUGAGCCAAUUUAAUAGGUAGUGUGCUUUCCUCUGCCCUCGACUUCUGGAUCUCUGAAAGAUAGUAAGGAAAAAUCAGUCAUGCAGAGUGACUCCAUGCUGCAGAGGUGGAAGCUACAAAUCUAUCAGGAAAGAAGAAUUCAGGAACAAGUUCUGUGUACAUCUGGGGUUUUCGUUGCUCCUGGACCACAAAGCUGCUUGACUUUCAGUAAGGUCACUGACAGUAUUUCUCUUUUCCCAAUGGUAGACCACAAGUCUUCAUGUCAAAUCAGACAGACGCAAUGCCAAAGUAGUGAAAAGAACCUAGGACUCAUAUACUAUUCACGUCAAGUCUCAAAAAGUUCUCAAAAGACUGGAACAAUGAGGCAAAUAGAUUAAGAUGCAAUAGUAAAUGUUAAUGUAAAAUUUUCCAAA